UACGUAGGGUGCGAGCGUUGUCCGGAAUUACUGGGCGUAAAGAGCUCGUAGGUGGUUUGUCGCGUUGUUCGUGAAAACUCACAGCUUAACUGUGGGCGUGCGGGCGAUACGGGCAGACUGGAGUACUGCAGGGGAGACUGGAAUUCCUGGUGUAGCGGUGGAAUGCGCAGAUAUCAGGAGGAACACCGGUGGCGAAGGCGGAUCUCUGGGCCUUACCUGACGCUGAGGCGCGAAAGCUAGGGGAGCAAACAGG
rnacentral:rRNA from 1 species